AUUGAACGCUGGCGGCAGGCCUCACACAUGCAAGUCGAACGAGUGGCGGACGGGUGAGUAAUGUCUGGGCAACUGCCUGAUGGAGGGGGAUAACUACUGGAACCGGUAGCUAAUACCGCAUACCAUCAGAUGUGCCCAGAUGGGAUUAGCUAGUUGGUGGGGUAACGGCUCAACAAGGCGACGAACCCUAGCUGGUCGGAGAGGAUGACCAGCCACACUGGAACUGAGACACGUUCCAGACUACUACGGGAGGCAGCAGUGGUGAAUAUUGCACAAGGGGCGCAAGCCUGAUGGAGCCAUGCCGCGUGUAUGAAGAAGGCCUUCGGGUUGUAAAGUACUUUCAGCGGGGAGGCGUUACCCGCAGAAGAAGCACCGGCUAACUCCGUGCCAGCCGCCGCGGUAAUUC
rnacentral:rRNA from 1 species